AAUUAAAUCUUUUAAGGCCAGAAUUCAUCAUGUUUAAAUAAUUAUAUAGUAAAUCCAGUUUCACUCAUCUUGCUUAUUGUCAUCUUUAUAUGUUCAUCUAUAAUAUUAUUUAAAGGACAUUUUUACCAGGAUUUUUCAAUUUGUAAAAAUUUAAUUGAUGGUGAAUAGUAAGAGUUUGCAGCCGUUAUAACGAGACCAAAAGACGAGUAAAAUAGAGAAAAUUAAUUUUUAAAAUAUCUUGAUUGCUGAAAAAGCUUUUCAUGAUAAGUGUUUUCGUGUUGACAAACUUUCAUUAACUCGGUAACAAUGUGAAAGCAAAAGGAGGCAAAAGAAUGACCAAAAUCAUUCCGCCUUCAUUUAUUUCAACUGAAAGAUCCAUUUCUCUUUUUCCUUUCAAUUCACCCUUUCGUUCUUCUCCUGUUUUCAUCGCUCAAAUCAUAAACACCUUUUAUUAUCCUUGGUGUCAAACCCAUCCAGGAUUUGAAUCAGAUAUAAAAUGGGCAUCAAAUGAUAGUGAUAUCACUUUCAAUCAUCAAUCUCCAAACUCAACAUCUUACCAGUUAAAACAGUGAUUUACAAUUAUUUUUGCUUUUGUGAUAUUGGCUAUUUUAUCCAUUAUGAAAUAUCUACCAUCCAUUAUCAAAUACAGUUUGAAAGGUACAGUUGCUUUCCUUAAUGUUACCAUCGCCUGUACCUUCACCUUUCCAGCUAUCAACAAUAUUUUAAUGGGACAUCAUCAAGCUUGUAAAUCAAGAUCAUAAUCCAAUUCCAGCUACUCCAUGCAGGGUAUGUCAUGGUGAAAGAAGGAUAAACCACAAGGCUGACAGAAAUGGAUAAAUUAGAUGAAAAUAAACUUAAAAAUACAAAAGUGAUCGCCUCGAUGAUUCAAAGUGAAUCUUUAUGCAAUAAUAGUAAGAUUUAAACUUUCAAAAAAGAAGUUAAAUGGAUCAACAAUUGAAGUAUAGUUGAUACACUUGACAUGGUCAUAGUUAAUUGUGAAAUCAGGUCAAUAAUCAAGGGAGAUUUUCAAUUCAUCUUAUGUGUUCAUUGUAACAUGAUAAACAAAGGUAACUCUAGGUUCUCAUCAGCUCCGCUUCUUAACCCUUUUCAAUUUGUCCUGAAAUCGAAACAUUUCAACAAGGAUCUUCAAAUUCUCUUCAAUUCCAUUUUUCUCUCUCUCAUAAUGAUAAAUCCUGAAUAAUUAGACUGUGGCCAUGACUAUAAGAUCAACUCUUUUCGUCCGCCAGUGUUUAUUGGUUUUCAAAUCUCCAACACAAACGUUACUCUAUCCAACAUUGAAGCAAUGUGUUCAAAAAUAUCCACAAUUGGCUUAGUAUUCAUGUGAACCAAAAUCUCCUCUAAAUCUAUUAAAUUACAUUAUGGUACAAAAUUCUGACCACUAAUUAUCUUUUGUUGCAAUAAUAAUUUUCUUAAUAUGUUUUUGUGCAUUGUGUUUACCUUGAUAACAAUUGUAUUGCCAAGUUUAAAAGCUGAUGGAAUCAAUGAUACAUCUUCAUCGCUGGAUUAUACACCACCAAUGACGUCCUCCUAUUUAACUGGCUCAGGAUCCCAAGCUUAUACGUCAGGAACAGCCUCUGCUUCAGCUUCGCCUUAUUGGGAAUAUCCAGUUCAUCCUCGUCCUUAUCCGAUUGAUGUUUGGAGACACCAUCGAUACGACUAUUGGGAUCCAAGUCAUGAUCUGGCUUACGGUAGAACAGAUUAUUAUUGGUUAAUACCAGUAGCAUUUAUCAUUGGUAUCGGAGCUAUUUUGUUGCCUGUGUUUAGCCUAUUUUUCACUGCAAUGGUUACCACCGGGACAAUUAAUUUAACUGCUGGUCGCAGGAAACGCUCAUUGUUUAAUGAGAAGCCCAUCUCUUUGCUAGUUAAGGAAGUUCAAUCAGCAAUCACUCGAUUUGGUUAUAAUAGUCAAAGGUUUGAGAAAGCUUAGAUGAUUUGUUUGCUUCAACUUAAAGUGUCAAACAAAUCUAAAUCAGUUGAAUUUAACUACAAGUAGAACUGUAAAAAAUACAAAAUUGUUUAAUUUUAUCACUUUGAAUUUAAUUUUACGAUUCUUUGAAUAUGUCAAAUCAAAUGAUUAUUUGCUUAUAAAUUAUUAACAAUCAUAACCAAAUAUUAAAAUUAAGUUAUUUAACCUAA